rnacentral:rRNA from 1 species
ACGUAUCCACCUGCCGUCUACUCUUGGACAGCCUUCUGAAAGGAAGAUUAAUACAAGAUGGCUCCGCAUGUUUAAAGGUAUUCGGUAGACGAUGGGGAUGCGUUCCAUUAGAUAGUAGGCGGGGUAACGGCCCACCUAGUCUUCGAUGGAUAGGGGUUCUGAGAGGAAGGUCCCCCACAUUGGAACUGAGCCACGAUCAAAAUUUUACGGGAGGCAGCAGUGAGGAAUAUUGGUCAAUGGGCGAGAGCCUGAACCAGCCAAGUAGCGUGAAGGAUGACUGCCUAUGGGUUGUAAACUUCUUUUAUAAAGGAAUAAGUCGGGUAUGGAUACCCGUUUGCAUGUACUUUAUGAAUAAGGAUCGGCUAACUCCGUGCCAGCAGCCGCGGUAAUACGGAGGAUCCGAGCGUUAUCCGGAUUUAUUGGGUUUAAAGGGAGCGUAGAUGGAUGUUUAAGUCAGUUGUGAAAGUUUGCGGCUCAACCGUAAAAUUGCAGUUGAUACUGGAUAUCUUGAGUGCAGUUGAGGCAGGCGGAAUUCGUGGUGUAGCGGUGAAAUGCUUAGAUAUCACGAAGAACUCCGAUUGCGAAGGCAGCCUGCUAAGCUGCAACUGACAUUGAG